AUCUCCUGCUCCCCGGUGUACGCGAAGGGGGGGCGGGGAGUCUGAUGGCACGGAACAAUGGAAGAACGCAGACCCCCUUACCUUAGCGUUUGGUGAGGAGGAGAAGAUCUCCUCUGGGAAGAGGCUUGCGAGCAGAGAGAAGGAGACGCAAGCCAGCUCAAAGCCUCUUUGUCUGGGAUGACUCACGCCCAAUGCCAUGACCAACUCGUUGUCCGUGUAGCGGUACCAGCAGGCAGGAACGCUCCCGGACGGACGAAACCGUGGAGAAGGAGAGCCUGAGAAGACACCGCAGCACGGCGAACAAAUGAGGUGUAGGAGACGAGAGGCGGCCCCUAUGUCAGCAAUCAGUUACCUGGCUCUACCUGGCACGUCCUCCCUACCCUGCAGCCGACAUGUGACCUGGGGUUGAGAGAUGGAGGUUGUGACCCACUCACCACCAAAGGGCUGAGGGGGCUCCUGCUCACCUGCCUUCCGGUUAAUGACGUGAGUUUACAGCACCACUUUUUCAGUUGGAGAACCUGGCAAACUUGGACAUGUGCUACUCAUAGUGUCACCUGACAGCAGAAGCACAUGCUGAGCCCUGCCCAAGUGGGAAAUAUAGUCAUGGCUCAUUCUCCUGAUAAGAACGGACCAGUCAGACAUUUAUGUAACACUAAUCAUUUGUCAGUUUGAAGGCUGUAGUCAAAAGUCAAAGCUCUCACGUCAAUUUCUUAAUUGGCUGUCACUUGGACCUCCUCCAUUUCCAUCCGCCAAGGUUCUUGGCCACGUGCCGUCGGUGUGUCAUCGUGCUCACCUUCGUGGGUCCUUCAGGGAUGGCAGUGACAUUGAAACAACAUGGGGUGUGAACUGCAGCUGCCUCAACAGUGACUGGCUGUGUUCAGGACAACCACGUCUUAUCCGGCACCAAAGAAUGGGACCGAAAGGCCCGCCUGGGCCAAUUUGCAUCUCAAACAGGCACAGCUCCUCCGUGAGGAGGCAUGACAGAUGCUAGAUGUGACUCCGCCCCCCUCCAGUCCCGCCUCCUUUUGUCGUCGUAGCUAUUAAUUGGAUCACUCAGCUCCCACCUUCCUGCUGCUGCCCACAGCACACGGCUCCAGGGAGAGCUGUGGGUGGAGGGGGGCAGAGGACAAAAAACCUGGGGCAACAGCUAUAAAUGCCACUGUAAAACAUGCCAAAAAACAUGUGCCUUUUAUUUCUUCACCUCUCAGCUGAAAUUCUCCAAAUAUACUAUCGCGCAAGACACAGGUUUCACUCAUUCUGUUCCCCAUAAAAACCUCUCCUGAUAUUUCCAGAGGACAUACAAAGGCUGAAUCCUAUUUUGAUAACACACAGACAUUCACGUCUCAUAGACGCACUCAGGCUAAUUGUCAGGGAGCUAAUUGCCCAUUGUCAUGCGACGGCUUAUUGUCCUGACGUGGGCCGCUGCUGCUCUGAGGGAAG